rnacentral:tRNA from 1 species
UGGGGUAUAGCCAAGCGGUACGGCCGUGGCCUUUGAAGCCUCUAUUCCCUGGUUCAAAUCCAGGUACCCCAA